rnacentral:rRNA from 1 species
UACGUAGGGGGCAAGCGUUGUCCGGAUUUAUUGGGCGGAAAGCGCGCGUAGGCGGCGCGGUAUGUCGUGCGUGAAAUCUCCCGGCUUAACUGGGAGGGGCCGUGCGAAACUGCCGGGCUUGAGGUCGGAAGGGGAAAGUGGAAUUCCGGGUGUAGUGGUGGAAUACGUAGAUAUCCGGAGGAACACCAGCGGCGAAGGCGGCUUUCUGGUCCGAUACUGACGCUGAGGUGCGAAAGCGUGGGGAGCGAUCCGG